GGGGGCUGCUCCUAGUACGAGAGGACCGGAGUGGACGCAUCACUGGUGUUCGGGUUGUCAUGCCAAUGGCACUGCCCGGUAGCUAAAUGCGGAAGAGAUAAGUGCUGAAAGCAUCUAAGCACGAAACUUGCCCCGAGAUGAGUUCUCCCUGACUCCUUGAGGGUCCUGAAGGAACGUUGAAGACGACGACGUUGAUAGGCCGGGUGUGUAAGCGCAGCGAUGCGUUGAGCUAACCGGUACUAAUGAACCGUGAGGCUUAACCUUACAACACCGAAG
rnacentral:rRNA from 1 species